GGUUCCGUAAUUCAACAGGAUAGAAUGUUGGUCUUCUAAACCAAAUAUAGAGGUUCGAAUCCUCUCGGAAUCACAA
rnacentral:tRNA from 3 species